AACGAACGCUGGCGGCGUGCCUAACACAUGCAAGUCGCACGAGAAAGUUCUUCGGAACGAGUAAAGUGGCGCACGGGUGAGUAAUCCAUAGGAACGUGUCAUUAGGAGGGGAAUAACAACGGGAAACCGUUGCUAAUACCGCAUAAUCUAGUAAUAGCAAAGACGGCCUCCAUUUAUAAGCUGUCACCUAAUGAGCGGCCUAUGUCCCAUUAGCUAGUUGGUGGGUAAAAGCCUACCAAGGCAACGAUGGGUAGCUGGUCUGAGAGGACGAUCAGCCACACUGGAACUGAGACACGGUCCAGACUCCUACGGGAGGCAGCAGUGGGAAUAUUGCACAAUGGGCGCAAGCCUGAUGCAGCAACGCCGCGUGAGUGAAGAAGGCCUCGGUUGU
rnacentral:rRNA from 1 species